CCACUUGCGUCGGGUGAUCAGCGCUGCCAGGUCCGCCGCCGUCCACGUGUUCAAGUCUUCGUUCAGGGCGAUGUAAUCUCGGCCAUCAUAAGCGAACUCUAGGUAUCCGAGGAGGAGGCGCCCGUCCGACCCCACGUCACAGCCGAACAACAGCUGGAACGUGUGAAGGCCUGCGGGAUCCCAAGGAGCGGGCUGCUGAUGACAGCAAAGGGGAGGAGAGUUUCCAGCAGCUGCUCAAUGCUUGGACACAGGACUGAGCCCCAACUCAAGGGCAGAGGGAGGAGCUGCCUGUGGCCCCUGAACCGGUGUGCAGCAGCAUUUCCUUCCUGCGCUCCAGCUAUCUUUGGAGCCACUCCACGCAGGUGCUCUCCAGGUCAUCGUUCAGGGCUAUGUAAUCGCGACCAUUGUAGGCUGUACUGCCAGUACCCGUGGAGGAGGCUCCCGUCGGACCCUACGUCACAGUCAUACAACCACUGGAACAUGUGAGAGCCUGCAGGACUCGCGGUCAGCCCUGCCCGCCCUUUGUGCCCUAGCAAUCUCCUAAACUAAAAGUGAAAGUGGGUCUUGGGUCCCAGAGGGUCCCGCAAGUUCUGGGAGCUCCUAGGACUUGGGCCCCAGGACUUCCUGGCCCCUGAGUAAGACUAGGAGGGGUUGUGACUUCCAACAUGGGGUCACUCACCACCCUUGCUCUGGUUGUAGUAGCCAAGCAGGGUACUUCACUUGGAAACUCUUCUCAUGGCCCUCUGCGACUUUUGUCUGUAGCUCCCAGUACACAGGGCCCUGGAGCUUCAUCCAUGGCGCGCACGGCUCAUAUCUCAGAUUCUCCACGUCGCUGUCGAAGCGCACGAACUGCGUGUAGUCCACGUCGCCGGCUUCCAUGUACAGGGGCUUCCCGUGGCCCGGCCGGGACAUGGCAGUGGAGAAAUACCGCAUCGAGUGUGAGCCUGAGGGCGGCGCGCAGUGAAACCCUGACCUCCUCCCCGGACCCCGGGCUUGUGAGCGGGUCUGGAAGGGAGCAGGGCGCCGGUCUUGCGACGUGGCUGGAGAAGGGGCGGAGGGUCGGGUGGGCGGCGCGGGGACCGGGCUUCCCCUGUGCAGUCCCCGACCCGCCCAUGCCCCCAGAAGCCUUUUCCCUCCCGACCCCGCACCCACCCGUGCGCGUCUGGGUCCAGGCCAGGGCGGUCGCCUGCAGCAGAAGCAGCUUUCGCUGCACUUGCCCCCUUCUGGCAAUCAGGAAGGGUCUGAGUUCUGAGAUCUGCCAGGACUUCACAACCAGAGCCCUUGGCCAAGGUGGCUGGUUUCCCAAGAUCUUGCUAUCUAAUGGGGGUGAGAUCUGAGAGCAGGUCAUUCAUUAGUGUCCUGGAGAAGGACCUGACCCAGGUUAGGAGCAGAAGUGAAAUUGGGGAGAUGGGGAAUCCAGGGCCCUGGGAUUGCCCACCCCUGACCUAGGCUGGACUAAGAAUUUGCUUCCAACACUUAUAAUUGAAAUAAAAUACUAAGAAGUUUGCCUUA
ensembl:lincRNA